rnacentral:lncRNA from 1 species
AGUGUGCAGAGCUCUGCUUCGUUAGGAAUCCUUUCGCUCCAAAUGACCUGCCUUUAAUGAGUGGGGGGUGCCCUCUAUUUAUAGGGGUUCUUAUGGGGGCAAUAUGGUCAUUUGGGCAGUAACCGCCUAACUGCCCAACUGAUCAGAUUGGGUCCAGGGGUCGACUUUCCAGAGAUCGACUUUCUGGGGGUCGACUUUUCCUGGUG